UAGCCUGCCUUAGCCGGGCAGCACCACUCUCGGGACUUUUAACAGCCUGGUUGGCAGUGCUGACCAGAGCCGCUGCAACCCAGUGCCUUAUAUGCUGCGACCCAGUACUGGGUCGUGACCCGCAGUUUGAAAACCACCUUCAUAGAUGUCCCCUAAGCAUAUCUCUGAAGAUAAAUUGACAAUCAGGCUUGCUACUCUACUCAGACUCCUCAUAUGAUGCAUAGACAUGCCCUGUGUGAGUGAGCCUCCGAGUCCAGGUCCAUGGGCUUCUGGUAAUGAGGCUCACACUAGUGCUCUAAAAAUAGCUGUGUAGACACUGAAGAUUUGGCUCGGAAGCUGGGGAAACUUUGAGAGCCUGAGCUCCAGCGUCAGCCACUACGUCAAAGCACCAUCUGUACAGCUGUUUCAAGUGAGCAGAGGUUGUGUUCUUAAGCUAGUGUUCUUAAGUGUGGAUCUGGGCAGGGAGGCUCGCUCACAGACACAGUGUAGAUACACCCAGAGAGAUCCCAUUAAAUCCUCUGAGGAGAAUUAUCCCAGACACCCAAGUUAAGUGGUUUCCUUGGUUAAUUUUGUGAUGUAUGAUCCUUCUGGUUGCUGAUGCCAGAUAAAAUCAAAAGGGUCUACCUGGUGCAAUGAGUCUAAGCAAAAUUAAGCUGUCUCAGUAGUGAUCGCCUAUGUUCAAGAGUAACCUUCCUUGCCCUCUUGGUGUAUGAAUCCUGAAUCCCUGCUGUCCUCAAAAAUAAUAGUAUAAAUGAAGAACUGAUUCAUUGUCCAGUGAAGAAAAGAAUUGCACACAUUGGCAUUACUUUAUCACAAUAAGUUUCCUUCAAAGAGAAACCAUAAUAAUUCAAAACCUACAGGAUACUGUAGCAAAAAACAGUGAGACAGUGUGGCCUAAUGAUAGGGCUCUGAUUUGAGUCUCUCAAGACUUGAAUUAUAUUCUCGGCUCUGCCACUGAUAUGUGUGACCAUGGACAAAUCACUUCCCUUCUCUUUUCAGAGUAACAGCCGUGUUAGUCUGUAUUCGCAAAAAGAAAAGGAGUACUUGUGGCACCUUAGAGACUCACGAAAGCUUAUGCUCAGAUAAAUUGGUUAGUCUCUAAGGUGCCACAAGUACUCCUUUUCUUUUCCCCCUCUCUUUGUCUUAUUUAGCAGGUAAGCUUAUUAGGGCAGGGGCUGUUUCUUAAUAUGUUUGUACAGCAACUAGCAUGAUGGGGCCCUAACCUUAGCUGGAGUUUCUAAGUGUAAAAGAACAAAUCUGUUUCAGUUUUGUAGUUUGCCAUAGUAGUUCUAGAGCUGCAUGAACUUAUUGUAUGAAAUGUAGGGUGAAAUGAGGCAUAUUCAACUGUGGAUAGCUCAGUUAAUAAAAUAAUUAAGUGAACCCCCAGUGAGGAUUUGACGAAAGGUGGAUCAGUCUACAUUCUGGUGUGUUCUUGAGACUGUGCCCAGCAGGGAAAGCCACAACUGAGACAUUAGUAAUGACCUGAAUGGACCCAAUCCUCUGCUGAGUUUUUUCUUUUGCAGCAUCUUUCAUCCAGCCACGUUCAUUUGCUAACUUACAGUUCCAUAGCAUGGUGUGGACUCUGGUGCAAUGAAUCAACUCUAGAUACCAAGAGAGAAUCCUUCCCCUAAUGAAGAUGCUGGUUUUGCCUUAAAUAUAUGGAUUGCUCUUAGCAUCCCUGAUAUGGUGAUGAAGUAUGUGGGGGUGAUAAGUUUUGCUUUUGUGACUAGGGAUGCACAUGUGCGGCUAGUGAUCCCAAUUAGGUGAAGGGUUACUUCCUUCUGAUCCCUCUGGCCUGAUCCUUAUGGUACCAGGUGAGGCCCAAACUGUAAUAGGUAAUCUUAGAUUGUUGUGCUUGCCACAUGUGGCCCACCUGGUUCUUCCUGCCAUUCUCUGCCCCAGACUUACUGACUGGAACCUUGUCUUGUGGUACAUGUACAGUUCUGUCUUUAGGCUGCUCUGCUGCCCUUUUUUAUGCCCUCUGUGGUGAGCUGGUAAAUCAUAUGUUUUUGUUGUGGUAGCAGCAGAGUGUGUGCGUGUAUGUGUGGUGGGUGUGUUAUGUGAAUUAUGCUUUGUGUACAUGACUUGGCUUCUCAGAUAUAUGAAAUGUUGUAUACAUUUCUUCAGUGUUUGCUGAGACCUUUAUAUUGUAAAGUUACUUCGAAUAACAUGGAGAGAUUAAUAAUCCAAGAUGAAAUGAUGGUUAAAGUGGUGUUUAGGUGAAAUAAUACAUGUCUUAAUGACCAAUGUAAAAAUAGAAAAUUUCAUCUUGCCUAGAGAAAGUCAUCUGACCUGGUUACAAAACAGUGGCUUGAUGUCCUAAGUCAAUCCACUCUCUUAUUUGAGUAUUUUGAUGCUGUUAUUAGGUAUCUAGUUAAAGAGCUGUUUGUUGAUGAAUUUAAGGAGUUUUUUUAAAUGUUUUUUAAAUGCUGUUUAAAUCAUUAUCCUUCGUUGGUCUAGCUUUUGUUGGUAUUGUCAUUUCUUAUAUGAUAUGAUGUCACAAAGAAGUUAUAUCCUUUAAUUCUGCUGUGUGUGCUGCACUGGGGAGCUCAAAGUUGAACCGUUGUUGAAAUAUGGUAGGAGGAAGUUAAGAUACUUGCUUUGUCUCUCAGGGUUAAAGUUUUGAAGGAUUAAAUUCCUGUAUGUCUUUAAGAUGACAAGGUAUACCUCUUAGGUUUUCUGGUACUCCUUUCUGUUUUAAAUUACCUUUUUUCAAUAGAGGGAGAGCAAAGCCAAACCAAAUUGCACUUACUGCAUUUACUUCUGACAUGACCUCUUAAUAUUGUACUUGUUCUCAAUCUUUAUUAGUUGGGGAGCUUUGAAUCCAUUCUUUUCCAUAACAUGUUUUUGGAGAGUCCAAUGGACAGUCCUGUUUGUGGACCCUGUUUUUUGAGUGUGUGUGUGUAGUCUUCUAUCUUCUGCUGAGCAUGGGAGCAGAACUUCGGAUUUUGAUUAGAAGAAUUUUUUUUUACUUUUUCUGUCCACAACUUUGUUAAUUAUGCAAAAUUCUAGUAUGUCUUCUGGUGGUAAUCUCAAAUUCAUUUUUAAUUUCUGUUUUAGAUACACGUUAAGUUUCUCUGCCUUCAUUUCUAGCUCUAAAUAGAUGCCUCUUUUUAAAAUUGAAGCCACAGGGUAGGUAACUGUUCUGUUAGUUUUAUUUGAAUGUUCUGUUUUUCUGUCAUGAUCUCCUUGGGAUCCCAGUGCACUGACAGGCACUCUUUAGUAAAAGGAUUUUUCUGGAUACUUUUUCAUUUUGCACGUUUCUUGAUUUUUUUGAUGGGCUGUUGUGCAGUAUUAAUGUCAUGAGUACUCCAGUGUUGCUAUAUAGUGGUCAUCUUCACAUCUUUUUCAAGAUUUUGCUUAGUGUUUAAGAAAAGAUCAUUAACUAUGAGAGUUACCUCUAAAUAUGCUUCUGGUAAUCUUUCCAUAAAAACUCAGUGAGGCACAGGUGAAAUGAAUGAGUUCCUGACUCUUGUCUAGUCAAUGAUGUUCUGCAGCUGGAUAGUAAUUCUUUUUUUUCUUUUCUUUUUUUUUUUACAUUUGUAGCUUUCUCCUCCAUAGUAAUGUAGAAAUAAAUGAAGUUUCAUUCUUUCUUAAGAUAGUUACAGCACCACUUGGCUGGAUUUCUGCAAGUGCAGGUGGGGCCUUGGGUAUCAUCAUUUUCAUAGACUCAGUAUGUGCUGAAGGAAUUCUCCAGAGGAAUACAAGAUAUUGUGUUUUACAUUAAGUUCUGUAAAGUAAAGAGCAUCUUGGGUUAUAAAUGGUAAGUAAGGGUCCUUAAACCCUUUUUGUUUUAUUACCAUAAGGAAUCAGAGGUGGUUUUUUUUUUUCCCUUUUUUUUAAAGGUGAAGAUGAACUGCUCUGAAGGUUAUUCUAGCCAUUGCAGGAAUUGUUCCUGAUUUAAGUUUUAGUGAUUUCACAGUAGUGUGUGAAGCAAGUUUAUUAAUUUUCUGAUUUCAGUGAUUUGAGAAUAAAGGUUUGUGGCAUUUCUCUUUCUUCUGGAUACGUGACUACAGAUCUUACAUCUAAUAGGAAAUUUAUAUCCAGGAACUUGAGAAUAUUUACUAGGGUUAAUGUUGGGCUUUUCCUGUAUUUCCUGCCAUGAUCUCUUCUUGGAACUGUAGUGCUAGGAGCAUACAUUUUCUUAAUGAUUCUGCUACUUUUUUUUGGAAGUUCUCCAUUUUUUUCUGAAUUAUUUUCUUUUUUACAUGGAACUCAAGGAAAUAUUUAGUUUCUUCAUUGUUGAAUGGUAAACUAUUUACGUUUUCCAAAACUGUUUCUUUUUUUACUCUGCUUAUCCUAGAUGGGUUUGGCAUGGAGGCAUCAGUAGGUUUCUGUGUCUGUAAGGGGAAAGCACAAUUAUGAUCCAUACUUUUCUUUCUAAUAUGCCAUUCAGGCUGAUCUCUAACUUGUUCUGGAAUAAAUGAUAUGUCUCUUGCAGUUCCCAUUGCUGGAAUCACUGGAAUUAGGAGUGAUUGGAAGAAGGAGCCUUUGGAAUCUUUUUUCUAAGGACUCUGUCCGAGUAGGAGGAAUUUUCCAGUGAGCCAAGUGAUGUUUCUGUUUUAUAUUAAAAUCUGUAUGCUAAAGGAAAUCUGUAAAUGUCAUCAAUGCUAUUCUUUCCAUUGUGCUUCUUUUAUAUCAGUGAGAAUUGGUUUGGAAGUGGUUUCUUUUUGAUAAUGGAAUCCUCUCUGUAAACUUGUUUAACUGUUACAGAACAUGUUCCAAUUUUGAUUGCAAGUGAAUUCUUAACAACAUGAAAAUACAUUUCAUCCUUUUUCCCCCCAAAGCUAAAUUUUGGAAAAUAUUUUUUCCUAAUCUUUGAGGAUUUGAAUUGGGAUUCAUUUGCUGGUAGAAAUCCAUUUUCUAUGUGAUGCAUUGUUUUCCUUACAAGAUACUCUUCAGGAAAUGCUAAAGUGGCUAACAAUAGUUUCUUUUUUUUCUUGAUUCUGCACAGGAAAAUCACUGUAUUCUGGGGGAUACAGUUGUAUAAUUCAGAAUUAAAAUGAGAACUUUCACUGUUAGAUGUUUGAUGUUGAUUUUUCCACUACUGAAAUUUUCUUUGCUAAUGUUGUUCGUCCUGAACAUGUGCAUGAGGUUGGAUUUCUGAAACCACUAAACCAGUUCAGGCUUUUUAAAUGAGACUAGAUUUAAGAUGAUGAUGUUCCACUGGAUGAUGAAUAGCUUACUUGAAAUCUCUUGCAAAUAAAAAAAGCAAGCAUUUUUCUGUGUUCUGCGGAUUAAAAAAAAAAAUCAUCCAGGUACUAAUUUUCUUGAUGUGUAGCAAGAAUUCAUGUGUGCCUUCCAAAGUUCUUCAAAACUGCUGAAAAGUAAAAAGCCAAACAAAAAAGACAACCCUCGCCCCUGAUUUUACAAAUCCGUAUAGAUUAAUCCUCUAACCUUUUUAUUACUUGUUUAGUCUUUAAAAAUGCCACAUAUGUAUUUUUAAAUUUCUUAAGGUGAUUAAACUGAGUUUUUUGUCCCAUUAAUUGAAAAGGAAAAUUAUAAGAAACAAGUACAGUGUUUACAAGAAGCAAGAUACUAAUUUACCAUCCUACUACAAAACUUCAUGCAUGUGUGUGUAUAUAUAAUUAUUAAUUCCUGGAAUAGCUGUAUUUUUCUUUUCAGAGUGUAUUUCACUUCAUAAACUGAGUGCCUGCACUGAACCUCAGAACAUACUACUUUUCAUUCUAAAAAAUGUAUUUCUUAUUUUACAGAGACAAUCACCUGUGUCUGGGGUGGUCUAAUAGAUAACCAAGAACAGUCCUUCCUCUCAGACCAAAUACAGAGGGUUGUUAGACUGUUGUUACUAUGUCACCAAAGCCCUUACCUGUAUAGUCCUGUAAGGUCAUAUUAUUCAACAUCUGUAAGUCGCUGUUGGGAGAGUUCAUGAGACAUGAGCUGAAAUGCCAGCAGAUGCAGAUGACAUCAAGUUCUAGAGUUCCUGUACAUCAGUGGUUCUCAAGCAGGGAUACACAGAGAUUUUCCAGGAGUGGAUUAGGCAGAAGAGUCUGGAGCAACUGUCAGCACUGCUGUUCUUGGAGAGAGACUGUCACUCUGCAAUGUUGAGCCUUUACUCACCUGAAAUUUAUAAUACAGCUUCAGUCUGCCUGAAGAGUCUGGCAAAAGCUUUUGCUCAUGAUUAUACUUAAAAAAAAUCUAAACGGCUUUCCUCUCUGAUUUUCCAGGAAGCACAUGACCUAUCUGUGUUGUUCUGAGAGGACAUGGUUUCUGGCACAUGAGAGGCAUAAAACAAUUUAAAGUAACAUCUCCACCUAGUGGCUAACCAAUAAAGCACAAUUGUACUAAUUUCUGGCCUGAUUUAAAUUCAAACUAGUUCUUAGAAAAAGAUGAUGUAAACUCCAAGUGCAUAUCUAAAAUACGUGCCAGAUUAGGGGCUCCCUUUUGUAAACCUGGAUUAUCAAAACUACAUAACAGUAACGUCUACCCCUUUAAGAUAAAAAGUCCUUAUUUGAGUAGGUUAGCUAGUAUUUGAGCACAAUCUAAAGAAAUAAAUGGAAAAAUGGGAAUAAUGUUUUUCCCAUCAAUACAAUACAUGCUUAAUAACAAAGAAAUACAACAGCUAGUACUAAUAUAGUAAUUUUCUUUCAUGAUAUCUACCUUAUUAAAGUUUAAGGCCCAUCAGUCCCAUUUUUCACAUCGGGAAAAUAUGGGUGCACAGAGGGUAACACUAGGUCCAGAAGGUGACUGAGACUCACCAGUGCAAUCCCCUAAAAUGGUGGGCAUCCUGGGGUGUAGUGGAAUCCACAGACCCAAGUUAUGUACCAAAGAACAGGAUUCAUACAACCCAGCACACUGAGCAGGAAGCUGCCUAAAUUAGGCAACAGAAAAUGUCAGAAAGGGGUGUGGUCUAAGUCCUGGCCCUUAAAGGGAGUUGGGCGCCUAACUGUGGGCUGCAGGUAGAUGCUUCCCUCCACUCUGCAUUCACAGCCCUGGAGUUAGGCCAGACCUGGUUUAGGUACCUUUCUCUCUCGCACACACACAGGGAGGAAAUACAUCCCUUCUAUGUUCUAUAGCCCAGUGGUUACAGCACCCACUGGGUAUGUGGGAGACUUUGGUACAAAUCCCCACGCGCUGAUUUGAAACAGGGUUUCCCGUCUCUAAGGUGAGUACCCUAACCACCAGAGUACAGGGUAUUCUGGGGUAGGUCUCUCUAUCUCCCCUAUAGAAGCUGUUUCACUUUUAUAGAAUACUUAAAUAUUCACUGGAGCAGGGCCUGGAACCUUGGUUUUCCAGAUGGGCACCCUAACCACCAGGCUACAGAAUCAUUCUUUCUGGCCCGCUAUAUAGUAUGCAGUAAACCAUGUUGUCUGCCUUAGAAAGGGUAAUAUUUCUUAACAGAGAAUAUAGGUUACCCAUGUAGCAAAUGGUAACAGAAAUGCCUCAAAUUACAGUAUAUGAUAAUUUCACAUUUAUAUCUCAUCAGUAGUCACCAACCUUUCUGAUUUGUUGGGCCUGACUGAGCACAUAUUGUGUGACAGUAUUUUGUUUUGAUGGUGGACCAUGCAUCUGUGCUGCUGUCUGAACUGGACCAGAAGAUGAAACAGGCGCAGAUGCUUGUGAUGAAGCCUGAAUUCCUGCUUGUGACUGAGCCAGAAGACAAAUGAAAUUUACACAAUGGCAUUUAAUAUUUUAGCUAUUUACAGUAUAGUUAUGGCAUAAUCAAUAAUCCUCAGUUGUGGUAAUUUACAAUCAGUCAAGAAGUCACAUUGUUUGAAUACUGUUUCACUUUCAGAUUCCACUGAAGCUUUACAGCCCAACAUUUGAGUAUGUAAAAGUAAAAUAGAAGUAGAUGGGCAAACACACAGUUGGACUUGGGAGAAAAGUCCCAAUACACAUUUUGCAAACGACAGUAUUUGGAGUUAUAUGCUCUGAUCCAGUAUAGAUCAGAAAAUCUGUACAGAAAGUAUCCUAUUCAGUCUGGGAAAACUCCAUCAAAUCCUUAUUGACAGAGACUGCAAAUGAAACAGCAAGAGCACAUGAAUAUGUAGUCAAAUAUUUGUACACAACUGAGAAACCCCCUUUCUAUACACCUGUUCCUUGAACCUCAAAUGUAUGGUAAUGUAAAUCCCUUAUCCCCGCUCCGCCCCCAAACAAAAAAAAACCCCAACAUCCCCAAAACAUUAACAACUUUUCUAUGCCAAAGCUAAUUCUCCCCCAACACAAUCUGGGCAGACUGUUUCCUAAACAAAGUGUACCAUCACUGCAUGCUGGUAUGGUAGGUGAUACUUUUAAGUCAUGUUUUUUUCUUCUUAGCUUGGUAGCCUACUAAAACUAAGUGAUGUCACUACUACAAAGUCUGAAUGAAAGGAGAUCAAGGAGACUCACAGUUCAGUAGUACAGAAUGUCAUGGAGAUCAGUUGCACUAGAAUCACCUAACUGAUUUAUAUUGUGGAGAGUGGGGUUGCUGAAGCAAAGAAAAAGGAGCAAAGGGGGUUGGAUCUGCUGCUUUACCUGAAGGUUAGGGGAGCAAGGAGCAGAGUGGCCCAUGUGGAGAAGAGCUAUUUGCAUAUCCAAGAAGGCAGCAGAGGUUCCAAGCAAAGAGAUGAUAGGGCUUCCCAAGCUACACUGGCAGGGGAGAUCCCAGCAUGUGGAGGGUAUGCGGUUGUUGAGGCCAGAAUUAACUGAUUUUGGGAGAGCCUAAAGCUGAUUAAUUAGAAUGUAAGUGGAUGUGAGAAUUAAUUUUAUCUGAGGGGUGGGCAUCAGAACUGAUUUUAUUUAUGAGGGAAGAACUGAUGACUUGUGUGGUGGUGGGAAGUCAGAGUUGAUUUACUGGGGGCAGGAAGGAGUGCAUGCGGAAAAGGAUAGAGGACUGCAGGUAGUUGUCUCUUGGGCUAGUAGGCUUAAUCCCUGGAAGAAUAAUUGUCAUGGAAAUUUUUCAAAAAAUCUUUGCUAGAAUGCACAAAAAAGGACUCAUCUAGGAAAUGCCUGCGUGUGGGAAAAGAAGCUAACUGAAAAGAUUGGCUCUUGAUAGUUUCUACUCAAGUCUAAUGCAAUCGUGAAAUAAGUCAAUAUUUUUAUAAUUAAGCAUAUAAACAGCACUUUUCUACUCUAUAUAAAAAAUGAGUAGCAUGGCUGACAAUCAUAAUGGGUAAUGAUUAAAGUUAGAUAAAACAUUUCAUACCUGUAGCUGUAUAUUGCCCACUGGUAGCUGCACUGAAGUGGCUGAAUUUGGUCCUUGGAUAGACAGUGGGAGUAGCAACUGUGUUGAUCCAUGGGUAGUUAGUAAAGCUUGAGGCUGGGCAACAACUGCAGUUUGUGGCUGCCUCUGUGAACUCACAUAGAAUUGAGAGAUUACAUUCUGUGGUUCAGCUUUGGCCAAAGGUACCUCCUGCUUGAUAAUGACAGCCUUUUUAGCAACUAGGUUCUGGCCACCAGUAGACACUGGCUGUCCUAAAGAAUGGCUGGUUACAGAUACUGGUUGCCUUUGACUAGAGCAAUCAGUGAGAGUGUUUUCAUGUUUGAUAGCAGCAUUUAGGUGUUUCUGAUCCAACACAGUUAUGGAGUUAACAGGAGUCUGGGAUUGCUGCUGCUGACCCUGUUUUUCAACCUUCAGUUGCAUUUUCAGUACUUCCACAAGUUUCUGUUCUUGUUCCAGUUUCCUUUUGAGCUCUUCAAUCUGCUUCUCUUUUUCUUGAAGCUUGCGGUCCUUUUCUGCUGCAUCAAGCUCCAUGCUUGAGAUGCUUCCACUAGCAUGACUCAGACUGUCUUCAUUCACAGUCACUCUUAGAGGUGAAGUACUUAAGAACUGGGAUGGUGACAUCAUGGUCAUCAUUUCCGUGAAAGUAUCUGUCAUGUUUGUGUCAUCUGUGCUUAGACUUGAUUGUUCUGAAGAAGAUGGUGAAAUGGGCAAAGGGGAGCUAAUGCUUUCAGUAUGUGCUAAUUUGAAGCCAGUUCCAGCAGACGAUGUUUCUGAAGGAAAGCUCCCUACUGAUUUAUUUAAUGUUGUAACAGGGAAUGCCACAGUUACCUCCCCUGUGUUACUGAUGACACCAGUAGAAGUGGUUAUUGCAACCACUUUAUUAGUAUUGACACCAUUAUUAUUAAGAUCUUGGUAGGGUUUUAGACGCUCAAUAAGAUCUGUUUUCGUUCCAGACACUGGCAAUCCCCUUAAUUUCAAUUCCAUCUUCAGUUCAGCUACCUGAGGAUAAAAUAAGACUUAGUUUUCAAAACAAAACCAAACCAGCAUGUUGUUUUACCUGCACUGGAUUUUUGCUAAAAGCAUAUCAGCAUAUUCACUAUUCAUUAUGCACUCGUCUUUUGUUGUGCAAGAAAGAGAUUCUUAUAGCAACAUUUAUGUAAAAAACAUAUCUAUAUAAACAAGUUCCUUUUGGUGGAAAGCCAAAAAAUCAUUUUAAUACUAAUACAUUGCUAUACAAUAGACAAACAUUUCAGAUAGCACUGUAAGCACAGUGAAUAUUUCUUUAACGCAAACAAGACUCAUCUAGGAACUAUGAAAGUACAUCAUCUCUUCAUUUUGGACUGAAAACUUCUGAAACAAAUCUACAGUAUCUGACAAAUGUGCACAUUAAAGCAUUGAAUACACAAAA